rnacentral:rRNA from 1 species
UACGUAGGGUGCUAGCGUUGUCCGGAUUUAUUGGGCGUAAAGGGCUCGUAGGCGGCCUGUCGCGUCGGGAGUGAAAGCCCACUGCUUAACGGUGGGUCUGCUUCCGGUACGGGCGGGCUAGAGUAUGGCAGGGGAGACUGGAAUUCCUGGUGUAGCGGUGGAAUGCGCAGAUAUCAGGAGGAACACCGGUGGCGAAGGCGGGUCUCUGGGCCAUUACUGACGCUGAGGAGCGAAAGCGUGGGGAGCGAACAGG